rnacentral:tRNA from 1 species
AUUACUUUGGCAGAAUAGUGCAUUAAAUUUAGAAUUUAAGAUUAAAUAUAUAGUA